rnacentral:rRNA from 1 species
CCUACGGGUGGCAGCAGUGGGGAAUAUUGGACAAUGGGGGGAACCCUGAUCCAGCCAUGCCGCGUGUGUGAAGAAGGCCCUCGGGUUGUAAAGCACUUUCAGUGAGGAAGAACGCCUGGUGGUUAAUACCCAUCAGGAAAGACAUCACUCACAGAUGAAGCACCGGCUAACUCCGUGCCAGCAGCCGCGGUAAUACGGAGGGUGCGAGCGUUAAUCGGAAUUACUGGGCGUAAAGCGCGCGUAGGUGGCUUGAUAAGCCGGUUGUGAAAGCCCCGGGCUCAACCUGGGAACGGCAUCCGGAACUGUCAAGCUAGAGUGCAGGAGAGGAAGGUAGAAUUCCCGGUGUAGCGGUGAAAUGCGUAGAGAUCGGGAGGAAUACCAGUGGCGAAGGCGGCCUUCUGGACUGACACUGACACUGAGGUGCGAAAGCGUGGGUAGCAAACAGGAUUAGAUACCCUAGUAGUC